rnacentral:rRNA from 1 species
UAGGGAAUCUUCGGCAAUGGACGGAAGUCUGACCGAGCAACGCCGCGUGAGUGAAGAAGGUUUUCGGAUCGUAAAGCUCUGUUGUAAGAGAAGAACGAGUGUGAGAGUGGAAAGUUCACACUGUGACGGUAUCUUACCAGAAAGGGACGGCUAACUACGUGCCAGCAGCCGCGGUAAUACGUAGGUCCCGAGCGUUGUCCGGAUUUAUUGGGCGUAAAGCGAGCGCAGGCGGUUAGAUAAGUCUGAAGUUAAAGGCUGUGGCUUAACCAUAGUAGGCUUUGGAAACUGUUUAACUUGAGUGCAAGAGGGGAGAGUGGAAUUCCAUGUGUAGCGGUGAAAUGCGUAGAUAUAUGGAGGAACACCGGUGGCGAAAGCGGCUCUCUGGCUUGUAACUGACGCUGAGGCUCGAAAGCGUGGGGAGCAAACAGGAUUAGAUACCCUGGUAGUCCACGCUGUAAACGAUGAGUGCUAGGUGUUAGACCCUUUCCGGGGUUUAGUGCCGUAGCUAACGCAUUAAGCACUCCGCCUGGGGAGUACGACCGCAAGGUU